GUGCCAGCAGCCGCGGUAAUACGGAGGGCGCAAGCGUUAUUCGGAAUUACUGGGCGUAAAGCGCGCGUAGGCGGCAACGUAAGUCAGGUGUGAAAGCCCUCGGCUCACCCGGGGAAUAGCACUUGAAACUGCGUAGCUAGAGUUCUGGAGAGGGUGGCGGAAUUCCCGGUGUAGGAGUGAAAUCCGUAGAGAUCGGGAGGAACACCAGAGGCGAAGGCGGCCACCUGGCCAGAAACUGACGCUGAGGCGCGAAAGCGUGGGUAGCAAACAGGAUUAGAAACCCGAGUAGUCC
rnacentral:rRNA from 1 species